rnacentral:misc_RNA from 1 species
GAUGAAGAACGCAGCGAAAUGCGAUAAGUAAUGUGAAUUGCAGAAUUCAGUGAAUCAUCGAAUCUUUGAACGCACCUUGCGCUCUUUGGUAUUCCGAAGAGCAUGCCUGUUUGGGUGUCAUGAAAAUAUCAACCUUGACUUGGGUUUUGUGCUCUAGUCUCGGCUUGGAAUUGGGUGCUUGCCGCUUUUACGAGCGGCUCACCUUAAAUGUAUUAGCUGGAUCUGUCUUUGAGACUUGGUUUGACUUGGCGUAAUAAGUAUUUCGCUAAGGACAUUCUUCGGAGUGGCCUCGUUUCUAGGACGCUUGUCCGCUUUCCAAUACAAGUUCCACCUCGUGGACAUGACUUUUUAUUAUCUGGCCUCAAAUCAGGUAGGACUACCCGCUGAACUUAAGCAUAUCAAUAAGCGGAGGA